GCUCCUACCGAUUGAGUGAUCCGGUGAAUAAUUCGGACUGCCGCAGUGUUCAGUUCCUGAACGUUGCAGUGGAAAGUUUAGUGAACCUUAUCACUUAGAGGAAGGAGAAGUCGUAACAAGGUUUCCGUAG
rnacentral:rRNA from 1 species